AACGAACGCUGGCGGCAGGCCUAACACAUGCAAGUCGAGCGAGGACUUCGGUUCUAGCGGCGGACGGGUGAGUAACGCGUGGGAAUGCGCCCUUCUCUACGGAAUAGCCCUGGGAAACUGGGAGUAAUACCGUAUACGCCCUUUUGGGGAAAGAUUUAUCGGAGAAGGAUCAGCCCGCGUUGGAUUAGGUAGUUGGUGGGGUAAUGGCCUACCAAGCCGACGAUCCAUAGCUGGUUUGAGAGGAUGAUCAGCCACACUGGGACUGAGACACGGCCCAGACUCCUACGGGAGGCAGCAGUGGGGAAUCUUAGACAAUGGGGGCAACCCUGAUCUAGCCAUGCCGCGUGAGUGAUGAAGGCCUUAGGGUUGUAAAGCUCUUUCAGCUGGGAAGAUAAUGACGGUACCAGCAGAAGAAGCCCCGGCUAACUCCGUG
rnacentral:rRNA from 1 species